CCGGACGCACGGGUGAGUAACACGUGAGUGACCUGCCUUUUAGACUGGAACAACUUACCGAAAGGUGAGCUAAUGCCGGAUGAGUUAUAUAAGUGCAUGUUUAUAUAGGAAAAGUUGGGGAGACCUGACGCUGAAAGAUGGACUCGCGUCCCAUUAGCUAGUUGGUAGGGUAAUGGCCUACCAAGGCGACGAUGGGUAGCCGGCCUGAGAGGGUGAACGGCCACAUUGGGACUGAGACACGGCCCAAACUCCUACGGGAGGCAGCAG
rnacentral:rRNA from 1 species